CGGUCAUCAGAUCACAGUCCUCGCUGGGACCUACAUGUCGCACCCAAUGCCUGCCUGGAGCCUUGGGGAGCAGACAGCCAAAGGCCCUUCCUUGGGCAGAUGCAUGGGAAGACACUCUGGGCUCAGUGCCUAGGUCAAAGGGCACAGCUGAGAAGGGUGGUUGAAUUCAGUCCCUCCGGCACCCUGGUGAGGUCACCCUGUGCAGACACUGUCUGUACUCCGUGUGGGGCAGCCUGGCCUGCGUGCAUCUGAGAUGCAGGUGCCUGGGGAGCGCCAGCAACCUGCACCUCCGUCCCCACAGCAAUCAGCCAGGAGCUGGGUGGCCCUGUGGCCGGGAGAGGCGAGUCCUCAGGCGAGAAGGAUGGGAGUCUGGGAAGGUGUUCUCUGGGGCAGGGCCGGCGACACACGAGGAAACCUCUGCAGGCAGGAGUGCCGAGAGCCAUCGGGCUCCUGCAGGAGCCGGCUGCACAGCGCUUCCUUGCAAGCCAGCCUGGGGCGGCCAUGGGGGGCAAGUGCAGACGCUCGCCACAGAGGGGCUCCACGAUCCAGGGGAGCUGCCCAGACAGCGGCAGGGAAGGUGGUGGUCUUAGGACGCAUACCAGGUGCUGCCCGAGGUCCAGCAACUGAAGGGUUACUGGGCAGGGAGCUCCAGCCCGGGCUGUCUCACAGGCCAACCAGCCACCUGGCUGGGCCACUCAGGCAGACGGCAGCCAGUCCGGGCCCAGCAGGCUGCCUAAUGAGCCACACACAUUUUUCACCCCAUAUUUUUCCAAUAAAAAAGCAGUUAGACACCAACCGCAGCCUCGUAGAGAGGCCAUCUGGCUGCCUGGCUCCCGAGCUUCUGGCAGCACAUGCUGCCUUUCCCGCCGUUGGCGGGGCGCCCAGAGCAGGGAUGGCAGGACAGGUGGGCGGGGUGUGGGAGGCCUCAGGGCAGGGCCUGGUCCAUCUGGAGGGUGGGGGCGGAGAGGUUUUCCUGUCUGUCUGUCUGCAUGCCAGCCUCCAGGGCUGCUGCCGGCUGGAGGGGACCUUGCUGGUUGGUUUGUCUGUCUGUCUGUGUCUUGAGGCAGUGUUCCCAGUGCGUCUGUGCCCC
rnacentral:lncRNA from 1 species